rnacentral:tRNA from 1 species
AGGGUUUAACCCCUCCCUAGUGA